GAGGGCAUAGCUCAGUGAUAGAGCGCAUGCUUAGCAUGCAUGAGGUACCAAGUUCAAUUCCUAGUACCUCCA
rnacentral:tRNA from 1 species